GGGAACAUGGCUUAGUGGUAGAGCGCUUGCCUAGCAUGCAUGAAGCCCUGGGUUUGAUUCCUCAGUACCA
rnacentral:tRNA from 1 species